rnacentral:rRNA from 1 species
GUUAGGAAUAUUGGACAAUGGGCGAAAGCCUGAUCCAGCCAUGCCGCGUGAACGAUGAAGGCCUUCGGGUUGUAAAGUUCUUUAGCCGAUGAUUAUAAUGACUGUAGUCGGAAAAUAAGCCCCGGCUAACUUCGUGCCAGCAGCCGCGGUAAUACGAAGGGGGCGAGCGUUAUUCGGAAUCACUGGGCGUAAAGCGUGCGUAGGCGGUUUUGUAAGUUAGGAGUGAAAGCACAGGGCUCAACCUUGGAAUUGCUCUUAAAACUGCAAGGCUCGAAUCUCGGAGAGGAUAGCGGAAUUUCCAGUGUAGCAGUGAAAUGCGUAGAUAUUGGAAGGAACACCAGUGGCGUAAGCGGCUAUCUGGACGAGUAUUGACGCUGAGGCACGAAAGCGUGGGGAUCAAACAGGAUUAGAAACCCCGGUAGUCC